rnacentral:misc_RNA from 1 species
AUUUCUUAAAUGCAAUACAAAUUGCUAGGAGAAAGAGUAAAUUUACCUUGACAAUCGCCACCGCGAAUGAGGCAGGAAUAAAAGAAAAGGCUAUAGUGAUUACAACUGCAGCAGAGAAGGCGUCGAGAUCAUGAUGUUGCUGAUGCUGGCUUGCCGUCUGCGGCAAAGGGUGGUUACGAGUGUGAAUUGUCAUAUUCUCAUUUUGUGUAGCUAGCCUGAGUAUUGCUGAAUUCAUCAAAUUGAUAAAUGUAGGAGCAGAAUGCUGGCAAGUACUGUUGUAUAGAACAGUGUACCCAAGGCUCCCAUCACCACUCUGAUUAUCCAUGACUAUCGCUCCAUACCUUGACUGAUAAGAUUCGUUGAAGCUAGACAUCAGAUAUUCACUCAUUGAAAGUAGGACAGGGCCCAAAGUUGAUCCUGCUGCUUCUAUGGCGUCGUUCA